AUUGUAAGGAGUUAAUCUAUAUUACCAAUCGUCAUGCAAACAUUUUCCUAACACGCAUAUUCAUCCACGAUUUAUAUCCUCAGCGAAGCUCCCAACCUGCCGAAUCAUCCCCUAUUUUAAUGUAAAACGAUCUAUUUUACCGACGGUGUAAAAGCACGCAUUUCUGACAGAUACUUUUUCAGCGGACCAACUUUAACCCUUCUUAUUUUUUUACUAUCACAUACUAUAACCGGACCAAAAAAUAAAGAACCGUUUUGUUUCGUUAUCGAAAGCUGCGUUUAUCUUUGCCGGCUUUUAUUUGAAACGCGAACGAACUCGCCGGCAGAGACUAUCGAUUCUAUGGAGCAGGCCUUGUAAGGGAAAUAAAGCGAGACGGUGUGUACGUUUAUGACAGGCGGCCAUAUUGGUAAACCACUUGUUAGACACCCUGUUUUGUUAUUGUUGUCGUUGAGGGUAAACCGACCGUUGUCACGCAGUCGGAUCAAGAAAUUUCGGCGAAUAUUUUGAACGGUAGGUUGUCGUCGCCCCACUUCGGUUCAACAACGAGGUGUCGCCACGCCAUCCCCAGAGAAUGAUCGGUAACUUAGAUGGACAUGUACGAUGAGAUAAUCUUCGUUUUGAGUUUGAAUUUGCUUAGGAGACUUAAGGUGAGUCUGUCUAAACACGCUAUUACGACUUUUGCUUAUGCACGACUUUCUUUUGCAUGUAUCUUUCGUUAAAAUAAUACUACAAUAAUGUGGUUUGUAUCAAAUACAGUGUGGUAUGAUUAAUAUUCAACUUAAUUGCAUAGCAGGGGGUUAUUUGCACGUGCGUAAAUCGCAAGGUGUGUGUUUGAUCACGCGAGAGUACAUCAAACGCAACGGUACGCAUACGUGUAGUUAAACAAACGUGUAAAUAAACACGGAUGACCUGCUUUACUCCAAUAUUACGAUCAAUUUACUCGUGCAAAUAACAUAAACGUUCUCGACCCUUUGAGAUGUAAAA